rnacentral:antisense_RNA from 1 species
AACGGGAUGCCUUUGAAAGCAUCGUUCUGCAGCAGGACUGCGCGACCGGCCAAUCAGAAUACAGGGAACCAUGAAAGAGCCCCAGCUCUGUCCCUGUGUGAAUCUCAGGGCCGUUUCGAGGAUGAAAAGGAGGCGUUUAGCCCCGAGCCUCACGUGGAAACAUCUGAUGAGCCUUUGCCAAUAUGCUCGGGACCUGGGGACGGCUGGGGUGACCCCAUCGCACGGCCGGGCCGUGGAAACAAUCUCGGCCCUGGAACCGGCGCCUGGGAAGUCCCGCGGUGGAUCCGCGUCACGGGGGAGGAUUGGCUCAGCACUGGUCCUGCGGAAUGUGUUUUUAUCAAUGACUUGACGACGUGAAAAACAUGUUUAUAAAACGAGCAGAUGGUGCUGAGCUGAGAGGGAGGUGACGCAGUGACUCAGGAACCACAAGCUCUGGAGGCUGAACGAGAAUCGGUUACAGGAGAUGAACACAAGGCUCGAUUCUCCUGUUAAACUUGACUGUCACCAACGGCGGGUGGGGGGUGCGCGAGGCCCUGGGCUCCACCGAAGACCUUAAGGAAAAGACUCUGGAUGUUAGUGGGUUCGGCCUCAGAAUCAGCCGGCGCUGAGAUGUGCACCUGGCAGGAUGAACGUAACUUCUGGUGGAUAAAGGGGGAGGCCUGAUCCAGGAAGAAGCACACCGUGGCCUGGGGCCCCUCUGGAGGGUGGAUCUUCCAAGUCACGGGAAACAGUGCGCCCAGGAGACGGUGAGCCCGGCUGCUGCCACCCCGAAGGCCAGGCUCGCCCCACACCGUGAGACCCUCCCCACACGAAGAUUCUGUAAGCGGAAUCGGAAGGAGGAUGUGAGAAGGACGGACAGCCAUGCCACACCAGGCCAGACAUCUUACCAACCUAUCGGUUCAGUUUUAAGAAAGAGAGCAAAGAGGAUCUAAAAUCUGAACUUUGAGCAGCUGAACUGUGUGGAAUAUCAACGUGGCUCCUGACAACCCCACCGGCACUGUUUCUUUGCACCGGAGGUCCUGAAGAGCUCACGGAAGGUGCACUUGCAGUUGUAGUUCAGAGAUGAUGCUUUUAGACAAUCUUUCCCUUCGAGAAGUAGCCUAAUGAGAAGGACUCUGUAGAUCUCUUCCUAAAAAAGAAUCCUCAGUCUCUGGCAGAACAGCUGCCCAGAACAGCUUCUGCCUGUGAGGUAGCAAAGAAAAAGGCCCACACAGAAUUUGCUGGGAUAUUUUCUUUCCAACACCAACAAACCGACAGCCUUCCCAAAUCCUAGGGGCAGAGUCGGCUGGCGCUGAGAUCAAAAGGGGUGAAGGGAAGGCAGCCAGGCUGGGAGUCUUUCUCCAGCAACUUUCUUGGCGAGGUGACAUAUAUGCCCAGAACCUUUUUCUAUGGAAGGAAAAAGAAAACCCUGGCUUAAUCAUCAGAGUUAGGAGAAUCACCCACGUAUUCAUCUUUAAAAGCAAAUCAUGAUAACUUUUGGUCACUCAGAAGUAACCAAGGCAAAAUAUUCCUCUUAGGGGACUCUGCUUAAGAGUUUUGGGAGAAAAAAAAAACUAAACCAAAGGUUUAUUUAGAAAUAAAUUGUUUUCUGAGUAUUCUAAGGAAAGCUAUGCUUAGCCAAAGUGCUUCAGCCCUUGUACAUGUUUCAAAUACUUCUGUAGAAGUUUGAAAUGGACAUGGAUUUUCCCAACACACACGCACAAUCUCAGGUGAGCCCAAGACAGCCUAUGAGGAUGACACUGGGGAGUCUGGGUUUCAGCUCCGACGGGCCGGGCUCUAAACCCCAAAGUUCUUGUCGGCCAAGUGGGGGGGUUUCUUGUGAGGACCAGAGGUGGCACAUCCACGGGCAUGGGGGACACUGGCUCACGAUGCCCCAGUAAUGCCGUGGUUAGGACGCCGCUCACGCAGCUGCAGCGCAGAGCACGGGGGACGCUGGCUCACGAUGCCCCAGUGAUGCUGUGAUUAGGAUGCUGCUCAAGCAGCUGCAGCGCAGAGCAUGGGGGACGCUGGCUCACGAUGCCCCAGUGAUGCCGUGGUUAGGACGCCGCUCACGCAGCUGCAGCGCAGAGCACGGGGGACGCUGGCUCACGAUGCCCCAGUGAUGCCAUGGUUAGGAUGCUGCUCAAGCAGCUGCAGCGCAGGGCCAGUGUGGUGACCCUGACUCCUGGGAACGGUGAUCAGCUGGGCCUCUGCCUCACUGGACCACGCUGCAAGGCAAGGGCCUGGGAGAUGCCCACAGCCGCGCCUCUGGCUGUGAGGCAGCUGUGAUCCUCCAGCAGCAAUGCCCUCAGAAGCUGGGAGAUGUGAACCCCACAUGACUCUCCUCCUUGCUGUCUUCCUGUCCCUGAGCCUUCAGCUCUUCGUUGUCUCUGUCUUGUCUCUCUGCAUUGUUUGUCCUGUUUCUCUCUCUCUCUCUCUCGUUAUUACAACAUAGAGCCAAAAAUACUUUUUUGUUUAGGAUAUGGCACCAAAAUAGUAUCAUAUCCCUGUUCUUCAUCUGAAAUGCAGACAAGCGAAAUGCUGCAUAAUUCUUUUUUAAACAUUCAAAAAACAGAAAAUGCAUGUUAAGUUCUUUAAACUUCUGAGAUAAUACAACUAGACCUAGCAUGGUGCCAGCCAAUCAUUGCAUAAUGUGUGUUUCCUUCUCCUUUGGGGGCUCAUUCCGAUCAGGGUGCAUCUGGGAAGUCGGGCGACCGUGUCCACCUCCUGGGUGGAAGAAUGACCCAGGGAAGUGCUCCAUGGGGAAGGCGGGGCAUGAGAGAAGGGAGGGGUGGUCCCGAGGACCCUUUCCAUAGACCUGGGAGUUCCCGAUGAGCACGCGGAAAGGACGCGGUGGGAGCGGCAGGUGCAGAGGGAGGACUUGAAGGUUCCAUCCCUAACAGAGGACAGCGUGGCCGAGUACUCAUGCUUCCAACCCUGCACAGAGGAUAGUGCAUGCCCAGCAUGCAGACUGGCUUCCAUCGCGACACGGAGGACAGCGUGGAGCCCAGCUCGAGUGCUGUCCCCCCACCAUGACAGCGCAGCACGGGCCUUCCAAGCCACAGAGCCACAGGGAAGCCAGUCCUCCUGGACCAUGUGUGGCUGUUUUGGAGCCAGUUGUGUCCUGUGAAGAGCGCAGCGGCCGCAGGUGAGGCAGGAGUGAAGAUGGAGGAGGCGGCCAUCUCUCUGGGGCCUGGCAACAGCGAGAGCUUUUGCCAAGCCACUGUCUCCUGGAGGACAAGAUCUCCUUCCCAAAGGCAAGAUGGCCAAGAGUAUGGAGAAGAAAGUAGGUAAUACAAGUUUGCUCAGAAUAAACCUAUGUGUUCAUG